rnacentral:rRNA from 1 species
GAUGAACGCUAGCUACAGGCUUAACACAUGCAAGUCGAGGGGAAACGAUAGAGAAAGCUUGCUUUUUCUAGGCGUCGACCGGCGCACGGGUGAGUAACGCGUAUCCAACCUGCCCAUCACUUGGGGAUAACCUUGCGAAAGUAAGACUAAUACCCAAUGAUAUCUCUAGAAGACAUCUGAAGGAGAUUAAGGAAUUAUCGGUGAUGGAUGGGGAUGCGUCUGAUUAGCUUGUUGGCGGGGUAACGGCCCACCAAGGCGACGAUCAGUAGGGGUUCUGAGAGGAAGGUCACCCACAUUGGAACUGGGACACGGUCCAAACUCCUACGGGAGGCAGCAGUGAGGAAUAUUGGUCAAUGGACGAGAGUCUGAACCAGCCAAGUAGCGUGCAGGAUGACGGCCCUAUGGGUUGUAAACUGCUUUUAUAAGGGAAUAAAGUGAGUCUCGUGAGACUUUUUGCAUGUACCUUAUGAAUAAGGACCGGCUAAUUCCGUGCCAGCCGCCGCGGUAA